CCUCUCAUGGCGUAGUGGUUAACGCGACCCAACUAGAGAUCGGGGAGUCGUGAGUUCGAUUCUCACUGAGAAGA
rnacentral:tRNA from 1 species